AACCUGCCCAUCAGAAGGGGAUAACACUUGGAAACAGGUGCUAAUACCGUAUAACAAUCGAAACCGCAUGGUUUUGAUUUGAAAGGCGCUUUCGGGUGUCGCUGAUGGAUGGACCCGCGGUGCAUUAGCUAGUUGGUGAGGUAACGGCUCACCAAGGCCACGAUGCAUAGCCGACCUGAGAGGGUGAUCGGCCACAUUGGGACUGAGACACGGCCCAAACUCCUACGGGAGGCAGCAGUAGGGAAUCUUCGGCAAUGGACGAAAGUCUGACCGAGCAACGCCGCGUGAGUGAAGAAGGUUUUCGGAUCGUAAAACUCUGUUGUUAGAGAAGAACAAGGAUGAGAGUAACUGUUCAUCCCUUGACGGUAUCUAACCAGAAAGCCACGGCUAACUACGUGCCAGCAGCCGCGGUAAUACGUAGGUGGCAAGCGUUGUCCGGAUUUAUUGGGCGUAAAGCGAGCGCAGGCGGUUUCUUAAGUCUGAUGUGAAAGCCCCCGGCUCAACCGGGGAGGGUCAUUGGAAACUGGGAGACUUGAGUGCAGAAGAGGAGAGUGGAAUUCCAUGUGUAGCGGUGAAAUGCGUAGAUAUAUGGAGGAACACCAGUGGCGAAGGCGGCUCUCUGGUCUGUAACUGACGCUGAGGCUCG
rnacentral:rRNA from 1 species